GUUCUGAGACAGACUGGAUGUUAGCCACUCGCCAGCACUCAGAGGGCCUUUCACACAGGAAAAAACGUGGUUCCUGCAGAUGGUUGCUGUCCUCAGAUGCCAGAAAGGCUGAAGAAGCCUGCCAUGAAACUAAGUUUCCGGCCAAUGGUUCCAGCCUGAUCUCAGACCCUGGGAAAACAGGAGCACCCCUUCAUCUCCUUCUGCAGGGAUGAAGUUGUUCACAGGAAACAGGGAUGCUCCAACAGAACCUGCCCAAGUCGCUGAUGAAAGCCAAAGUUUCCACACAGGGAUCUUCAAAUUUCUGAGACAGACACAUGCUAACCAAGACUGCUUUGGCCGCAUACCACUGGGACUCUGUGUUGGAGUCAAACAGUUGUAACCCGAUUAUUUAUUAAAAACAGCUUCAGGAAAACAGGACCUUCAAGAGAGAGAAAAAGAACCAACAACUCCGAAAAUGGGCUGCCCACCCUGAUCAGAACAGGUGAUGCAUCUUCAGGAGCUGCAGCACAUUGACCAGGAAAGUAAUGACGAAUGGCCUGCCUGAGACUGCGUCCAUUUCACAAGAAUGUUUUGAUCAUCAUUUCCCCUAAUUUCCCUUAAAAACCCCUUAUCUGGAGAUGCAGCUCAGUGAGGUGGUCUUUGAACACUAGUUCACUGCCUCCCCCAAGUUGCUGGCUUCUCAAAUAAAGCUAACUUUCCUUUGAU